CCCGGCUGACCGAAUCGGCAGCGACAAACGCCCUGUACGACGGCCCUCGACGUCACAUCUACCUCCCUCCCGGCCUGCUCUCUUCACCAUUGCUUUACGCCAAAGGAUCGCCAGCCUACAAUUACGGAAUCUUUGGAAAUAUACUAGCUACGGAGCUACUGGGUCUCCUGAAUAUCUACAACAACGGGACUUUGAAGAGCGCCACGGAUCCACACAGCAAGAUGUGGAACCAACAAGCCAGGCAUCACUUCGAGUCAAUAACUCGCUGCCUUCUUCAUCAGGAAAAAGAGCAUGCACCUCUCAGUUGGCGUUUGUGGACACGAGAGGCCCCGAAGGUCUCCCUGAUAAACCACAUCGCCACGUGGCUGUCGUACAAGGCCUAUCAAAGCAGCGCUGCAUCGACGAAGCGCAGGUGGACACCGACGGAUCUGCAAUUGACUUCGGAGCAACUUUUCUUUGUGUCUCACUGUGUGCCUUGGUGUUCGGACAAAAAGGAAGACCUCGCGGCGCGCCAGCGUUGCGUACAACCUCUGCUGAACAUGCCAGAGUUUGCCGAUGCUUUCAG